rnacentral:lncRNA from 1 species
GGGACUUCCUAUUUAAUGGUCCUAAUAGUAAAGACAUUACCUUUUAAUGAACACAACCAGUCACGAUGUUUUCAUCUAUCAAACAAAUCACUUCAAAAACCUAGACUACCUAAAACGUAGGCUACCUGGGCACGUUGGCCCACUCCAAAAUAAUUCCAGUACCCAAACAAUGCACUGUGCACCUGCCAUUUGAUGGAGGGAAAGAGACGUUACAAAAUCACAAAAAGUGUAAUGACAUUCGCGAUUGUCAUUAGGCCUACAAUAUUGUAGCCUGAAUUAAUUGAUGCGUCUUGCUGACAAAUGAAAAAUAUAUCAUAAUCGGGACACGUGAAAAGGGGCUGAAAUUGUCACGUUUCUCUAAAGCUGAACCCAGAAGCAGACCAGGACAAGGUGAGUAAAAUGAAGGUGAGUAUUUAUUCACAGACUCGAGGCAGCGGAGGUGAGUUGAUGAGAGUGAAUAGGCAGAUCCAAUGAUGUCACUGAAACCACCGACGACCAGGCAAGGGGGGCGAAUGUUCCGGGAGGAUGACUGUAGACAGCGUAAACAGGGUUGAGUAACCGGCAAGAAGUACAUAACAACAAAACUAACUCUGGUAACAUGAGCUGAUACGCUGACACAACCUAAUGUUCAUUGCUAACGAUCCGGCAGGGAAUGGAUGUCAGGUCAGGGUUUAUGAAGAGAAGAGGUGAUGAUCAGGACCAGGUGUGCAGAUGGCUGAUGAGAUGCAGGUGCGGGUAAUUGAGAGAUCUCCCGCCUAGCUUCGUCGCCCGGCAACCAGACAGGGUGUGUUCAGAAACAACUCCAAAACAGAAAACAGUCAGCUCAGGCAGAACACAGACUCAGGAAGCGGGAUUCAUGACAGGAAUACAGGACAAAAAUACAGCUGUGUCUGUCCGGAGCUCAUUAGUGCGGGGAAACUGUGAGGGUCCAGUUAAAACAAUGUUGCAAGUUCGCUAGCGAGCUGGACCAAGUCGUUACAAUGUUGCAAGUUUGCUAGGGAAAGCUCAAGACAGACAGAGAGAGACAGGAGACAGGCGGAGUAGAGAGAUUAAUGCGAUUGAAAGAACCUGAACAAACUGUCACUGGUUUAAGCCUAAGCACGAAACAUGGAGAUGCCUUCAAAUUAUGUAGGCAACACCACUCAAAUUUACGUAAAAUAAUUCAAAAUAGUCCCUUUAAUAUUCAGAAUGUUGAAUACACUUCAGUGGUGUUAGUCGGAUUUUGAGACAAAGUAUCCACAGAAGUGUUAUUAACCCCAUGUUUUAGGUAUAUACUGUGUAUAUAUAUAAAAAAUUACUACACAAAAUUAGAAACAAUUUACAUCCCUACAUCAAACAUGUCUAACAAAACAAAACACAAGUAUAAACAAGAAAAUACUACUAUAUCCUUACUACUAUAAUACUAUAUCCUUCAUGUUAAAAACAGGAGUAGUGCUCAAAAAGGUAAAUAUGUAUUCUGCAAGGUUUUUCCAAAACUCUAUCACAGAUUUACAUCCAUAGAACAAGUGAGUUAGAUUUUCACCUUUUUCUUUUGCAGAAAACGCAGAUAUCAUCAAUAUCAACAAAUUUGGACAACAUAGAAUUACAUGGAUAUAUCUUAUGUAGAAUCUUAAAGUGCACUUCCUUAAAUUUGUUUGGUAUAAAAUAUCUGUAAGGCUUCAAACAAGCUUUUUCCCCAGACAUAGUCAGGAAUAAGCAUGUUCCAGAAAAUGUUUCCUCUAGGCAUAAAUUGGUUCCGUGAAUGGAAAAUGUGUAUUUGUUACAAGAUUUCUCGAGUAAGUCCACGCCUUUCAAACUGAGUUCUGGAUAAACUCUGUGAUCAUCACCAAAGCUAAGAUUAAUUUUCAUUAGUGUAGUAAGACCACUGGGAAUGGCUUUUUAUCACAGAAAUAAACUCUCUGAAAGUUAUUGGAAACUCAUUCAAUGUUAUAAAUUUGAAAGAAUAUUACCCCUGUUGGUGAAAACAUUAAGAACAAAGUCAAUAUUCCUCUCAUGGCAGCUAGGGUAGAACAAUUACUUAUUCCUUACAGUUAUGCCUGAAUUAUUCCACAAAAGAGCUUUAUGUGGGGUAAAAUUGUACAGGAAACAUUAAAGAUUGUUGGUGAAACCUACACUGAAAAAACGGGACAGAUUUAUGUGAUUUACUCAAACAUGUUUUGUUUCUCCUCACAACACAAUUUCAUUGUUUGCGAUCAAUGCAACACGAAGCAAAAUCUGAUCUACUAGUUUGAAUCAUGUAGUUGGAGUGUGAACCAAUAAAGCUAAUUCAUGACGAGUAAUGAGGAAGAAGUCAAACCGCGUGAGAGAAGAAUCUUCCAGAAAGAUCCUUGGCGCGUUAGCGGAGAAGACAAUAUCUAGAAUCGUGGUCAAGGAGAAACAGAAGAGAGCCUCGAGGACAUGCGGAAAGCUCUACUGUCUGAUGUGAAGAAAAGGAACAACAGAGAGACGGUGAAGUUCAAAAUGGAGAAGACGUUUGCAUACAGGAGACAUUAAGUUGUCCGUGACGCACCCUUGGUAGAGGACUUCAUGGCAAGAUGGCCUGCGCUCUUUGAAGUCAUUGAGGGAAGUUAGCCAUGCUUGUUUUAUUGUUGAUCUAUUGGUCAUGUUAUCUGAGAUUGGUUGGUGAAGGUAGAAGAUUGUUUUCCCUCAGCUUGCCUAAUUGGUAUGAAGUGUUUCCUUUUUCCUUUUUCUUUCUCUUCCUCUCCUGUUCCGUGCCACCUUCAUAUUCUAUCACUAGCUAUUCUAUUACUGUAUCUAUCAUCUCAUCUGUCUUCCAUCUUAUUUCAUUAGCUACGGUUAGAUGCACUUUCUUUUUAUUCAUAAUUGUAUUACUCAGAUUAAAGACUCCAUGUCUCCAGUGAUCAAAUUGGCUAUGUCUCAAAUGUAAUCUGAAUAGAAAUCUUGGUUAGAACCACUUUUCAUUUUAGCCUUGUAAUAGGCGGUGUUCAAAUAUUAUAAACAGUUCAAUUUAGUUGACACUUAAAAGGACUCCAGUCUUGAUUUAUUUUUGUCUGUAUCAUGCUCUUGUGCUUCAUGAGCUAUACUUUCUGCAGUCUAGAGUCCCUAACUGUAAACACUUCAUUGACGAAUGAUUCAUUUUAUAUGAUUGACAAGUUUUGCCUUUGUGUCUUCUUCAGGGCAUGGAUGAAGAGUCCACCAAGGCAGCUGUUGAGGACACUACUGUGGGGAUCUACAUUAUCAAAGACCAUUUCGCGAGAGAAGACCCAGAUGCAGACAGUGUCGAAGACAACUCUUCAAUUCCUGGUCUCCCGUGAUCUGCCACGGGUCCGGAAGACGUGCUGCACCAUGAGCUGGGACAUUUCUUUGGCAGAGGGUAGCUUGGGG